CGCGUAGGCGGCCACGUAAGUCGAAGGUGAAAUCCCCGGGCUCAACCUGGGAAUUGCCUUCGAUACUGCAUGGCUAGAGUCCAGGAGGGGGUAGCGGAAUUCCCAGUGUAGCGGUGAAAUGCGUAGAUAUUGGGAGGACACCGGUGGCGAAGGCGGCUACCUGGACUGGUACUGACGCUGAGGCGCGAAAGCGUGGGGAGCAAACA
rnacentral:rRNA from 1 species